rnacentral:pre_miRNA from 1 species
CUACGAGAUGUUAGUAAUGCCACUGCGAGAUAUUUGAGAUAUCUCAAACAUCUCGUAGUGGCAUCUCAAACAUCUCGCAG